UACGAAGGGUGCUAGCGUUGUUCGGAAUUACUGGGCGUAAAGCGCGCGCAGGCGGCUAUCCAAGUCGGUGGUGAAAGCCCGGAGCUCAACUCCGGAACUGCCAUUGAAACUGUUUAGCUUGAGGAUGGGAGAGGUGAGUGGAAUUCCCAGUGUAGAGGUGAAAUUCGUAGAUAUUGGGAAGAACACCGGUGGCGAAGGCGGCUCACUGGCUCAUUACUGACGCUCAGGAGCGAUAGCGUGGGGAUCAAACAGG
rnacentral:rRNA from 1 species